AGAGUUUGAUCAUGGCUCAGAAUGAACGCUGGCGGCGUGCUUAACACAUGCAAGUCGCACGAGAACGCUUUAGCUUGCUAAAGCCAGUAAAGUGGCGCACGGGUGAGUAACGCGUGGGUAAUCUACCCCUGAAUUUGGGAUAACGUUGCGAAAGCGACGCUAAUACCGGAUAAUAUCUUUUUAAUUUCGGUUAUCGAGAUCAAAGGUGGCCUCUACAUGUAAGCUACUGUUUAGGGAUGAGCCCGCGUACCAUUAGCUAGUUGGUGGGGUAACGGCCUACCAAGGCAGCGAUGGUUAGCUGGUCUGAGAGGAUGAUCAGCCACACUGGAACUGACACACGGUCCAGACUCCUACGGGAGGCAGCAGUGAGGAAUUUUGCGCAAUGGGGGAAACCCUGACGCAGCAACGCCGCGUGAGUGAUGAAGGCCUUCGGGUCGUAAAGCUCUGUCAAGUGGGAAGAAUCUGAUUAUUGUUAAUAUCAGUAAUCACUGACGGUACCACUGAAAGGAAGCACCGGCUAACUCCGUGCCAGCAGCCGCGGUAAUACGGGGGGUGCAAGCGUUAUUCGGAAUUAUUGGGCGUAAAGAGCGCGUAGGCGGCCAGUUAAGUCAGAUGUGAAAUCCCGGGGCUCAACCCCGGAAGUGCAUUUGAAACUAAUUGGCUUGAGUAUGGGAGAGGGAAGUGGAAUUCCUGGUGUAGAGGUGAAAUUCGUAGAUAUCAGGAGGAACACCGGUGGCGAAGGCGACUUCCUGGACCAAUACUGACGCUGAGGCGCGAAGGCGUGGGGAGCAAACAGGAUUAGAUACCCUGGUAGUCCACGCAGUAAACGGUGAUCACUAGGUGUAGCGGGUAUUGACCCCUGCUGUGCCGGAGUUAACGCAUUAA
rnacentral:rRNA from 1 species